UCAAUCAGAAAACCGUACUCUUUUGUUUUAAAGAUCGGUUUAUUUGAUUGAGCCGUGCCAAUAUCACGCGUUUAAAUAGUUUAAAGAUUCUAUGUUAGUUGAUGUGAUCAAUCAAGGCUCUGAAGUUAGGAUAGUAACAAGAAAAAAGACAGAAAAAAA
rnacentral:precursor_RNA from 1 species